ensembl:lncRNA
CUUUGGAAAGUUAUUAAACUGGAAGGAGUAUCUAUGAAGAAACCAAUAGAAUAAAGAUAUGCUGUAAAUGUAUAAUUUCGGGCAAAUACUUGUACUUUUAACACUUCUGAUAUGUUCUACAAGGUCACAUGAUUAUUUAGCAGCUUGUUCUGUAAUGGUGUGAGCCUCCUUUGGAAAGUUAUUAAACUGGAAGGUGUCUCUAUGAAGAAACCCAUAGAAUAAAGAGAUGCUGUAAAUGUAUAAUUUAGGGCAAAUACUUGUACUUUUAAGACUUCUGAUAUGUUCUACAAGGUCACAUAAUUAUUUAGCAGCUUGUUUUGUAACGGUGUGAGCCUCUUUUAAAAAGGUAUUGAACUGGAAGUGAAGUUAUGGUGUGUCUAUGAAGAAACACAGGGAUGCUGCAAAUGAAUGUUUUAUGGCCAAUACUUGUAUUUCAAUACUUCUGAUAUGCUCUACAAGGUCACAUAAUUAUUUAGCAGCUUGUUUUGUAACCGUGUGAGCCUCUUGUAAAAAGGUAUUGAACUGGAAGUGAAGUCAUGGUGUGUCUAUGAAGAAAUACAGGGAUGCCGCAAAUGUCUGUUUUAUGGCCGAUACUCAUAUUUCAGGGCUUCUGAUCUGUUCUGCAAGGUCACAUAAACAUGUCGACACUUGUUUUGUAGCGGUCUGUGCCACUUGUAAAAAGCUAUUGAACUGGAAGCGCAGUCAUGGUGUGUCUAUGAAGAUACUGUGGGAUGCUGCAAAUGUCUGUUUUACGGCCGAUACUCGUAUUUCAGGGCUUCUGAUCUGUUCUGCAAGGUCACAUAAACAUGUUGACACUUAUUUUGUAGCGGUGUGAGCCUCUUUUAAAAAGCUAUUGAACUGGAAGCGCAGUCAUGGUGUGUCUAUGAAGAAAUACAGGGAUGCUGCAGAUGUCUGUCUGAUGGCCGAUACUCGUACUUCAGGGCUUCUGAUCUGUUCUGCAAGGUCACAUAAACAUGUCGUCACUUGUUUUGUAGCGGUGUGUGCCACUUGUGAAAUGGUAUUGAACUGGGAGCCCCGUAAUGGUGUGUCUAUGAAGAAACUUUGGGAUGCUGCAGAUGUCUGUUUGACGGCCGAUACUCAUAUUUCAGGACUUCUGAUCUGUUCUACAAGGUCACAUGAUUAUGUAGCAGCUUGUUCUGUAACCGUGUGAGCCUCUUGUAAAAAGCUAUUGAACUGGAAACGCAG